UACGUAGGGUGCGAGCGUUGUCCGGAAUUAUUGGGCGUAAAGGGUGCGUAGGCGGCGCGGUAAGUCGGGUGUGAAAUCUCGGGGCUUAACUCCGAAACUGCAUUCGAUACUGCCGUGCUUGAGGACUGGAGAGGAGACUGGAAUUUACGGUGUAGCGGUGAAAUGCGUAGAUAUCGUAAGGAAGACCAGUGGCGAAGGCGGGUCUCUGGACAGUUCCUGACGCUGAGGCACGAAGGUCAGGGGAGCAAACGGG
rnacentral:rRNA from 1 species